GAGUUUGAUCCUGGCUCAGAACGAACGCUGGCGGCGUGCCUAACACAUGCAAGUCGAACGGAUUUGAGGAGCUUGCUUCUCAAGUUAGUGGCGCACGGGUGAGUAACGCGUAGAUAAUCUGCCUGAUGAUCUGGGAUAACACUUCGAAAGGGGUGCUAAUACCGGAUAAGCCCACGGAGUUUUUGGACUUUGCGGGAAAAGGGGGGGACCUUCGGGCCUUCUGUCAUCAGAUGAGUCUGCGUACCAUUAGCUAGUUGGUAGGGUAAAGGCCUACCAAGGCUACGAUGGUUAGCUGGUCUGAGAGGAUGAUCAGCCACACUGGAACUGAGACACGGUCCAGACUCCUACGGGAGGCAGCAGUGGGGAAUAUUGGGCAAUGGACGCAAGUCUGACCCAGCAACGCCGCGCGAAGGAUGAAUGUCGUAAGAUUGUAAACUUCUGUGAGAAGGGACGAAAAAACAGGCUCAAACCCUGUUCUGACGGUACCUUCAGAGGAAGCCCCGGCUAACUACGUGCCAGCAGCCGCGGUAAUAC
rnacentral:rRNA from 1 species